rnacentral:rRNA from 1 species
UUUGCCCUUAGUAACGGCGAGUGAAGCGGCAAAAGCUCAAAUUUGAAAUCUGGUACCUUCGGUGCCCGAGUUGUAAUUUGGAGAGGGCAACUUUGGGGCCGUUCCUUGUCUAUGUUCCUUGGAACAGGACGUCAUAGAGGGUGAGAAUCCCGUGUGGCGAGGAGUGCGGUUCUUUGUAAAGUGCCUUCGAAGAGUCGAGUUGUUUGGGAAUGCAGCUCUAAGUGGGUGGUAAAUUCCAUCUAAAGCUAAAUAUUGGCGAGAGACCGAUAGCGAACAAGUACAGUGAUGGAAAGAUGAAAAGAACUUUGAAAAGAGAGUGAAAAAGUACGUGAAAUUGUUGAAAGGGAAGGGCAUUUGAUCAGACAUGGUGUUUUGUGCCCUCUGCUCCUUGUGGGUAGGGGAAUCUCGCAUUUCACUGGGCCAGCAUCAGUUUUGGUGGCAGGAUAAAUCCAUAGGAAUGUAGCUUGCCUCGGUAAGUAUUAUAGCCUGUGGGAAUACUGCCAGCUGGGACUGAGGACUGCGACGUAAGUCAAGGAUGCUGGCAUAAUGGUUAUAUGCCGCCCGUCUUGAACCAACGGGACCCA